rnacentral:rRNA from 1 species
GCUCAGUAACGGCGAGUGAGCGGCAAGAGCUCAAAUUUGAAAUCUGGCCCCUCCGGGGUCCGAGUUGUAAUUUGCAGAGGAUGCUUCGGGUGCGGCCCCUGUCUAAGUGCCCUGGAACGGGCCGUCAGAGAGGGUGAGAAUCCCGUCUUGGGCAGGGUGCCCGUGCCCGUGUGAAGCUCCUUCGACGAGUCGAGUUGUUUGGGAAUGCAGCUCAAAAUGGGUGGUAAAUUUCAUCUAAAGCUAAAUACCCGGCCGGAGACCGAUAGCGCACAAGUAGAGUGAUCG